rnacentral:lncRNA from 1 species
CAGCAGUAGGCAGAUAUAUGUCUUUUUUUCCCCUCUUUCCUUUUAUCUUACUUGUAAUCAAAUUUUUAUAGCUGGAAAUUUAUUGAAGGAGAAAAGGCGUGUUGCCUUUGUUGACUAGAAUAAUUGAUCUUCUCGUACUUGAAAGCAUUACCAGGUUCCUUCUUUCUUUGUUGUGUCUUCAAACUAUACGAAUCUUUCUUUAAGACCUACUUUCACAUAUUGAAUAACUUUACUUCAAGUAAUUUGAAUACAUGGACUUAAAUAAGGUACCCUUGUUCUCAUUUUCAUUAAAUUGCGACGAAAUGUCACAUAGCAAUCUUCCUGAUCUAAUCUCAGUUCUCUGAAUUUUUAGCACAACGUUUUGGAAACACCAAAAACAUAGAUUCUAAUCAAGUAUCCCAGAAAACAUAUAAAAGAUAUGCCAAAAUAACUUACUAGAAACAUCUGGAAAUAUUCAAUCCUUGUCAAGGGAACAUAUGAAAGAAUUUGAAUUGUCACCUAAUUAUAGACAAGACUUUUGGAGAAAACAUUUACAAAGUUGAGGAUAAAAGUCAACAAAACAGCUGGGACGAAUUAGAUAUUACCUAUAGAGCUGGUCCAGACAGUAAACCUAUUUUACUCUCCCCCGUCCUCAGUUCCCAACUGUGUGUCACCUAAAUCUCCUUCCUCAACUAUUUUUGAACACCACCUUACAUGUCACAGGUGCUGGACCUUGACCACCAGUGUUUUCANNNN